GCUGACGGCAUUAAAGGGCGACGCCGGGGAGGAAGCGAGGUGGCGGUGGCGGUGGCAUGUGGGCCUGCGUGUGCUGUUCCGGCGGCGGUCUGGCACCCGCGCCCGCCUCCAGGCUCCGCUGCUGGACCAGACGGCGGGGGUGGCGCGCUGAGCCAGCGCAGAAAGAUACGCCCAGGGUUUCAGAGUCGAUGGAGUGUAUUCAGCUGUUAUAUUAUUUAUGACUCUCCGGAUGUCGACAAAAUGAUUGACAACACGUGAUGAUUACGUGUCCGUGAGCAGACUCUUGGAAAAGCCUGCAUUCGUGCAACAAUGAAUGAGCGAUGAGCUACCUGGGGGACCGGCCCGGACUCUCAUCCUAGAGGCUUUAGAACCUCGGUCAACACACCCUUCUCAGGUCACGGCUGCUGUGCUUGUCCACAUACCAUCAAAACUGGGCAGAGAGGCAGGCUCAGGUAGGUGCCAGAUGUGUUCUCCCCCAGCCCCCACCCCCGCCCCCGCCCCCGGGCAGCAGCAUCCCUACCUCCUCCGGUGGCCGCGAGGAGACCCCUUCCUUGACCUGCUAGUCUUCUGGCACAAGGAGCCGUGACCCAACAUUGAAUCAGACUCCACAUCCCUUUCUGGAAGCAUUUGCCCUCUAGAAGAGGUCAGGAUUGUGAGAACCGGACAAACUCCCCUGGAGACAGCAUUGGUGGGCAGACCCACUCCUGCCUCCACCCCCUGCUUCCCGCACCCAAGUCUAUACUUAGAGGAGACACAUGUCAGACGCCCCCACUCACAGGCUAUCAACUCUGAGCCAAAAGGCAGCUUCAUUGCUCCGCUGGGCCAGCAGCUUCUGGGCCGUGUGGUGUGUUAGGGGACCGGUGGGUCCCACGGCCACGGGCUCACCGCCCCCACCUCCUUCGCCGUAAGCGGGUCCCCAGCACCAGCACAAGCUUGCACAGAGCCUCCUGUCGACAGGUCAGACGCCACACAGAGAGGACAUGUCCGUGAAUGGCUGUCCCCUACUGCCUCCACUCACAUCCCCCGUGACGACCCUACAUGCAGGGGAGGCCAGGCAGUGUGGUCUGCCUGGGCGUCCGUUCCCACCUAUCUGAAGCUCUGUUACCGGAUGAUGGUGGGAUGGAUAUUGGAGGACAGUGGCAGCGACUCCCAUCUUACAGAGCGUGCGAUCAGCUCCCAGCACUGAAAGCGACGAGUAAAGGCGGGCGGUGUGGGGGGUGUCAGCCUCCGCCCCCGCAGUGUGGACGUGUGGCAUCCAUUGCUGCUGGAGGGAGGCUUCGGGGCCAAGUCAUGUCACUGCACACCCGUUUCACUGCUCAGGCUGUGCCCUCUGCCUCCUUUCUCUCUCACUCACCGGAGUGCCCCAAGGUCCAAGGCUUACCCUGGAUGAUGCCUUCGACCAAAAGUAAAGGGACGCUGGCCUA